CGACGAGAGAGGCAGAUUUUGGCCGGUGUUGUACAGAGAAGCCGGCUUGUUUACCUGCUCUCUUGUUU
rfam:Lepisosteus oculatus linkage group LG1, whole genome shotgun sequence.